rnacentral:rRNA from 1 species
GACGAACGCUGGCGGCGUGCUUAACACAUGCAAGUCGAACGGAAAGGCCCUGCUUUUGUGGGGUGCUCGAGUGGCGAACGGGUGAGUAACACGUGAGUAACCUGCCCUUGACUUUGGGAUGACUUCAGGAAGCUGGGGCUAAUACCGGAUAGGAGCUCCUGCUGCAUGGUGGGGGUUGGAAAGUUUCGGCGGUUGGGGAUGGACUCGCGGCUUAUCAGCUUGUUGGUGGGGUAGUGGCUUACCAAGGCUUUGACGGGUAGCCGGCCUGAGAGGGUGACCGGCCACAUUGGGACUGAGAUACGGCCCAGACUCCUACGGGAGGCAGCAGUGGGGAAUAUUGCACAAUGGGCGGAAGCCUGAUGCAGCAACGCCGCGUGCGGGAUGACGGCCUUCGGGUUGUAAACCGCUUUCGCCUGUGACGAAGCGUGAGUGACGGUAAUGGGUAAAGAAGCACCGGCUAACUACGUG